CAGCCGUUCAGCUACCCAGUGUAU
rnacentral:miRNA from 1 species